UACGUAUGGUGCAAGCGUUAUCCGGAUUUACUGGGUGUAAAGGGAGCGUAGGCGGCGCGUUAAGUCUGAUGUGAAAACCCGAGGCUCAACCACGGGAGUGCAUUGGAAACUGGCGGGCUGGAGUGCCGGAGAGGUAAGCGGAAUUCCUAGUGUAGCGGUGAAAUGCGUAGAUAUUAGGAGGAACACCAGUGGCGAAGGCGGCUUACUGGACCGUAACUGACGUUGAGGCUCGAAAGCGUGGGGAGCAAACAGG
rnacentral:rRNA from 1 species